GACUGAUGGUGGCGCAAGGGUGCGUAACGCGUAAGUAACUUCGCCCAAGGUAAGGAAUAACGUCGAAGAAUCGGCGCUAAUACCUCAUAAUGCAGCGGAUCCGCAUGGAUAUGUUGUUAAAGGUUUACCGCCUUGGGAUAGGCUUGCGUCUGAUUAGCUAGUUGGUGUGGUAAUGGCACACCAAGGCUACGAUCAGUAACUGGUCUGAGAGGAUGAUCAGUCACACUGGAACUGAGACACGGUCCAGACUCCUACGGGAGGCAGCAGUGAGGAAUAUUGGGCAAUGCACGAAAGUGUGACCCAGCAACGCCGCGUGGAGGAUGAAGGUAUUCUAUAUCGUAAACUCCUGUGAGAGCAGACGAAAGACAGAUUAUUAAUUUGGAUGACUGUAUGCUCAGAGGAAGCCCCGGCUAACUACGUG
rnacentral:rRNA from 1 species